rnacentral:rRNA from 1 species
GUGAACGCUGGCGGUAGGCCUAACACAUGCAAGUCGAACGGCAGCACAGUAAGAGCUUGCUCUUACGGGUGGCGCGUGGCGGACGGGUGAGGAAUACAUCGGAAUCUACUUUUUCGUGGGGGAUAACGGAGGGAAACUUACGCUAAUACCGCAUACGACCUACGGGUGAAAGCAGGGGAUCUUCGGACCUUGCGCGAUUGAAUGAGCCGAUGUCGGAUUAGCUAGUUGGCGGGGUAAAGGCCCACCAAGGCGACGAUCCGUAGCUGGUCUGAGAGGAUGAUCAGCCACACUGGAACUGAGACACGGUCCAGACUCCUACGGGAGGCAGCAGUGGGGAAUAUUGGACAAUAGGCGCAAGCCUGAUCCAGCCAUACCGCGUGGGUGAAGAAGGCCUUCGGGUUGUAAAGCCCUUUUGUUGGGAAAGAAAAGCAGCAGGUUAAUACCCCGCUGUUCUGACGGUACCCAAAGAAUAAGCACCGGCUAACUUCGUG